rnacentral:rRNA from 1 species
GACGAACGCUGGCGGCGUGCCUAAUACAUGCCAGUAGAACGCUGAAGGAGGAGCUUGCUUCUCUGGAUGAGUUGCGCACGGGUGAGUAACGCGUAGGUAACCUGCCUGGUAGCGGGGGAUAACUAUUGGAAACGCUAGCUAAUACCGCAUAAGAGUAGAUGUCGCAUGACAUUUGCUUAAAAGAUGCAAUUGCAUCGCUACCAGAUGAUCCUGCGUUGUAUUAGUUAGUUGGUGAAGUAACGGCUCACCAAGGCAACGACACAUAGGCGACCUGGGGGGGGGAUCGGCCAAAAUGGGACUGAGACACGGCCCAGACCCCUAAGGGAGGCAGCAGGAGGGAAUCUUCGGCAAUGGACGGAAGGCUGGACGAGGAACGCCGCGGGAGGGGAGAAGGGUCUCGGAUCGUAAAGCUCUGUUGUAAGAGAAGAACGAGUGUGAGAGUGGAAAGUUCACACUGUGACGGUACCUUACCAGAAAGGGACGGCUAACUACGUG